rnacentral:rRNA from 1 species
GUGAGGAAUAUUGGGCAAUGGGGGAAACCCUGACCCAGCGACGCCGCGUGAGGGAAGAAGGUCUUCGGAUUGUAAACCUCUGUCUUCGGGGACGAUAAUGACGGUACCCGGGGAGGAAGCCACGGCUAACUACGUGCCAGCAGCCGCGGUAAAACGUAGGUGGCAAGCGUUGUCCGGAAUUACUGGGUGUAAAGGGAGCGCAGGUGGGGCUGUAAGUCGAAUGUGAAAUCUAUGGGCUCAACUCAUAAAUUGCGUUCGAUACUAUAGUUCUUGAGUGGAGUAGAGGCAGGCGGAAUUCCCGGUGUAGCGGUGGAAUGCGUAGAUAUCGGGAGGAACACCAGUGGCGAAGGCGGCCUGCUGGGCUUUAACUGACACUGAGGCUCGAAAGCGUGGGUAGCAAACAGGAUUAGAAACCCGUGUAGUCC